rnacentral:rRNA from 1 species
ACACGACUACAUUAGAUACCCGCGUAGUCCUAGCCGUAAACGAUACUCGCUAGGUGUCGGCCACGGUGCUACCGUUGUCGGUGCCGUAGGGAAGCCGUGAAGCGAGCCACCUGGGAAGUACGGCCGCAAGGCUGAAACUUAAAGGAAUUGGCGGGGGAGCACCACAACGGGUGGAGCUUGCGGUUUAAUUGGAUUCAACGCCGGAAAUCUUACCGGGACCGACAGCAACAUGAAGGCCAGGCUGAAGACUUUGCCGGAUUAGCUG